AGUACCGUGAGGGAAAGGCGAAAAGAACCCCGGAGAGGGGAGUGAAAUAGAACCUGAAACCGUGUGCGUACAAGCAGUGGGAGCCCUUCGGGGUGACUGCGUACCUUUUGUAUAAUGGGUCAGCGACUUAUUGUCUGUAGCAAGCUUAACCGUAUAGGGGAGGCGUAGGGAAACCGAGUCUUAAUAGGGCGUUUAGUUGCAGGCAAUAGACCCGAAACCGGGCGAUCUAUCCAUGGCCAGGUUGAAGGUGCCGUAACAGGCACUGGAGGACCGAACCCACUAACGUUGAAAAGUUAGGGGAUGAGCUGUGGAUCGGAGUGAAAGGCUAAUCAAGCCCGGAGAUAGCUGGUUCUCCGCGAAAUCUAUUUAGGUAGAGCGUCGUGUCUUACCCUGGGGGGUAGAGCACUGUUUGGGCUAGGGGGUCAUCCCGACUUACCAACCCCAUGCAAACUCCGAAUACCCAGGAGUACAAUCACGGCAGACAGACGGCGGGUGCUAACGUCCGUCGUCGAGAGGGAAACAACCCAGACCGCCAGCUAAGGUCCCUAAUACCAGUUAAGUGGGAAACGAUGUGGGAAGGCUUAGACAGCUAGGAGGUUGGCUUAGAAGCAGCCAUCCUUUAAAGAAAGCGUAAUAGCUCACUAGUCGAGUCGGCCUGCGCGGAAGAUGUAACGGGGCUAAAUUGGUAACCGAAGCUGCGGAUGCGUGCUUGCACGCAUGGUAGAGGAGCGUUCUGUAAGCCGUUGAAGGUGAACCGGGAGGUUUGCUGGAGGUAUCAGAAGUGCGAAUGCUGACAUGAGUAACGAUAAAGGGGGUGAAAAACCCCCUCGCUGAAAGACCAAGGGUUCCUGUCCAACGUUAAUCGGGGCAGGGUGAGUCGACCCCUAAGGCGAGGGCGAAAGCCGUAGUCGAUGGGAAACAGGUUAAUAUUCCUGUACCACCACGUGAUGCGAUGGAGGGACGGAGUAGGCUAGGUGAUCAGGGCGUUGGUUGUCCCUGUUCAAGGAUGUAGGCAGAGAGCUUAGGAAAAUCCGGGCUCUUAAUGCUGAGAUCUGAUGUCGAGUUUCUACGGAAACGAAGUCAUUGAUGCCAUGCUUCCAAGAAAAGCUUCUAAGCUUCAGUCACGUGGGAUCGUACCCGAAACCGACACAGGUGGUCAGGUCGAGAAGACCAAAGCGCUUGAGAGAACUUGGGUGAAGGAACUAGGCAAAAUGGCACCGUAACUUCGGGAGAAGGUGCGCCGGUGACGGUGAUGGACCUUGCGUCCUAAGCUGUUGCCGGUCGAAGUAACCAGGCCGCUGCGACUGUUUAUUAAAAACACAGCACUCUGCAAACUCGUAAGAGGACGUAUAGGGUGUGACGCCUGCCCGGUGCCGGAAGGUUAAUUGAUGGGGUUAGCGUAUGCGAAGCUCUUGAUCGAAGCCCCGGUAAACGGCGGCCGUAACUAUAACGGUCCUAAGGUAGCGAAAUUCCUUGUCGGGUAAGUUCCGACCUGCACGAAUGGCGUAACGAUGGCCACACUGUCUCCACCAUAGACUCAGUGAAAUUGAAAUCGCUGUUAAGAUGCAGUGUACCCGCAGCUAGACGGAAAGACCCCGUGCACCUUUACUAUAGGUUCACACUGGACUUUGACUUUAUUUGUGUAGGAUAGGUGGGAGACUUUGAAGCCGAGACGCUAGUCUUGGUGGAGUCGUCCUUGAAAUACCACCCUUGUAAAGUUGAGGCUCUAACUUAGGUCCGUAAUCCGGAUCGAGGACAGUGUGUGCUGGGUAGUUUGACUGGGGCGGUCUCCUCCCAAAGAGUAACGGAGGAGUACGAAGGUAUCCUAAGCAUGGUCGGACAUCAUGCAGAUUGUAUAAAGGCAUAAGGAUGCUUGACUGCGAGACCGACGGGUCGAGCAGGUAGGAAACUAGGUCUUAGUGAUCCGGUGGUUCUGAAUGGAAGGGCCAUCGCUCAACGGAUAAAAGGUACGCCGGGGAUAACAGGCUGAUAC
rnacentral:rRNA from 1 species